rnacentral:rRNA from 1 species
UACGUAGGGUGCGAGCGUUGUCCGGAAUUAUUGGGCGUAAAGAGCUUGUAGGCGGUUUGUCGCGUCUGCUGUGAAAAUCCGAGGCUCAACCUCGGACUUGCAGUGGGUACGGGCAGACUAGAGUGUGGUAGGGGAGACUGGAAUUCCUGGUGUAGCGGUGGAAUGCGCAGAUAUCAGGAGGAACACCGAUGGCGAAGGCAGGUCUCUGGGCCACUACUGACGCUGAGAAGCGAAAGCAUGGGGAGCGAACAGA